rnacentral:rRNA from 1 species
CAGCAGCCGCGGUAAUGCGGAGGGUGCAAGCGUUAAUCGGAAUUACUGGGCGUAAAGCGCACGCAGGCGGUCUGUCAAGUCAGAUGUGAAAUCCCCGGGCUUAACCUGGGAACUGCAUUUGAAACUGGCAGGCUAGAGUCUUGUAGAGGGGGGUAGAAUUCCAGGUGUAGCGGUGAAAUGCGUAGAGAUCUGGAGGAAUACCGGUGGCGAAGGCGACUAUCUGGGCCAACACUGACACUGAGGCACGAAAGCGUGGGGAGCAAACAGGAUUAGAUACCCGGGUAGUCCCUGUCUCUUAUAA